UACGAAGGGGGGCUAGCGUUACUCGGAUUGACUGGGCGUAAAGGGCGCGUAGGCGGUUUUGUACAGUCAGACGUGAAAUUCCUGGGCUCAACCUGGGGGGCUGCGUUUGAUACGUGCAGACUUGAGUUCGGAAGAGGGUCGUGGAAUCCCCAGUGUAGAGGUGAAAUUCGUAGAUAUUGGGAAGAACACCGGUGGCGAAGGCGGCGACCUGGUCCGAUACUGACGCUGAGGCGCGAAAGCGUGGGGAGCAAACAGG
rnacentral:rRNA from 1 species